AUGAUGCAAAAUGAUUGAGAAAGAUUGCUGUAUGACUCUAUUAUCAUCAACUGUAUUUAUAUAGUUAAAAAGAAUUGGGA